rnacentral:misc_RNA from 1 species
UUUCCGUAGGUGAACCUGCGGAAGGAUCAUUAGUGAAUUUAAGGCCCUGGUUUCCACCGGCCUCACCCUAUUCUAAUCACUCGUGCACUGUCAUUCUUGACGCCUAUCUGUAUUGUAUGUCGGUUGACCAUAAAUAAAGUUCAAACAACUUUUAGCUACGGAUCUCUUGGCUCUCACAUCGAUGAAGAUCGCAGCAGACCGGAAGCGCAUACGUUCGAACUCCAGUCAUGCAUUGUCAUCUCGUCUGCUGACUUCUGCUCGCUAACAAACUCAACUCAC